rnacentral:lncRNA from 10 species
GGAGAAAAUAAUUUCCACCAUCCGAGAAGAUAAUCUCCACCAUCCGAGAAAAUAAUCUCCACCAUUCGAGAAAAAAUAAUCUCCAUCAUUUAAGAAAAUAAUCUCCACCAUUUGAGAAAAAAUAAUCUCCACCAUCUGAGAAAAUAAUCUCCACCAUCUGAGAAAAUAACCUCCACCAUUUGUUCUGAAUCGUGUGGUUUGCUAAUGUCCUUUUACAGCCACUGUCUCAUGCAAUCUCCCAGCAGCCUGGGGAGUCUUAUUAUCUCCAUCUUGCAGGGCCAGCACCUUCUCAGGCAGGCGGCAGCGCAGUCACACCAAGAAGUGAUAAGGAGUCAGAAGAGCGGUGGGAAUUCCUCCCUUCCUGCAGCAAGGCCAUAAACCAUCCUCAUCCCCAGCACACAGGCUGCCAAGGGCUGCUUCCAUCCGCCCAGCUGUGGGGGUGAGCACCUGGCGAGACUGGCGCCCAGCCUGAACGCACCUGCCAGGAGAAUGGCCACAGGACAGAUGACCACGUAGGACUCAGGGCCUCACACUCGCCUCUGCAGGAGGAAGAGACCAUGGAUAUUCAGGAGCAAAGUAAGGAGGGCGAGCAGGCUCAAGGAGGAGAGAAGCGGGGCUCGAGGCUGGGAGGCCAUGAAUGCCGAGCCAGAACGUGGGCUUUGUGCAGUGGUAACAGGGAGCUAUGGAUGGUGUGGGGUGGAAAAAGCAAGGAGACGGGAGGGGAGGUGGGGUCAGGAUGACCAUAGUAGACACAUGCUGGAUCGCCACCCAGGAGGCCACUGCAGGGAUGCAGGAGGGCUGAGAGGGUGGCCUAGCCACAGACGGUGGCAGAGAAACCGGGAAGCAGCUCAGGGCUGGCCGUGGGGGAGGCCAGAGGCUCUUGGGGCUGCAGGCCAGUGCCCAUUCCCUUGCCACUCCCCCCACCGAGUCCCCUUCCUCCCCCUGCCUGCCUGCCCCAUCCCCAAGCAAAGCCAAGUGGGAAAGUGUGGCCCCCGAAAUGGCUGUGGGCUCAGUGGGAGGUGGAGGGAGUAUGAACUCACCAGGGGCCACCAAGUUCAAAUACAGGUAGGUCCUGGCCCAGAGUAAUAGGAAACCCACCCAGCCAUCUAGCAGAGGCCCUCGGCUGCCUGUGGGCCCCUUCCCUUGGCCUCCUCCAUCAGGCAAGAGCUUAAGGCCUCAACAGGGACCCAGGCCCACCGCCACCCCAUCUGAGUGGCCCUGCAGAUUCCACUCCAAGCUGAGCAGACAACCCCUGGCCAGGGCCUCUCAGGGGGCCACCAGGCAGGCUGGAGGCUGCAGAGGCCUGGAGGGCACUGCCUUCUAUGCUGUGGGUCUCAAUUUCCUCAUCUGCAGCAUGAAACAGUGAUCCUUCCUUCCAGGGCCAUAACAAAGGGUCAAUGAGAGGGCAUCACAGUGAACUUGCUGAGCACAGGGCAGGAAUAAGUCCCUGAGGCACUGACGUUUGCAGUGUCCCCGGGUGCCCAACAUCCCUCCAAACACCUCGCUCCUUCCCCCCCACCUCAGGGCCUUUGUACACGCUGUUCCUCCUGCCUGCAACACUCUUCUCUGUGUCUCUCCCCUGCUGGUUGUUCUGAGCUCAGAUGCUAUAUCCUCCAGGAAGUCUUUUCUAUCCCCUAGAUGAGGUCACAGCCCCACAGUCUCCCCCAAACCAGACUGAAAACUCCACGAAUGCAGAACAGGGACUGUCUUGCUCACUGCUGUGUGUUCUUACUAUUUAUUAAAUGAAUAAAUAAAUGAGU